rnacentral:piRNA from 1 species
UGAAGGCAUAAGUCAACGGUUUAUGGU